GCUGAGUCCCCGGGACUGAAAUGCAGCUUUCUCACACUCUCCUGAUUCUGAUGGAGGAACUGAACUGCAUCCCUGCAGGCAAGUGCAGGGAAGAACAUAGCGCACAGUGGGUCCAGCAGUACCAGCUGCUCCUCCUGUCUGUGCAGGGA
rnacentral:lncRNA from 1 species